rnacentral:lncRNA from 1 species
UACUUUCUCUCUAGAAUUUUCUAUCUCUAGACUGAUUCUCUCUCUUGAUAGAUUUUCCUCUUUCGAAGUUAUCUUUCUAAGAUUAGCCUAGUGAAGGACUUCUUUUUGAUGAUUUUGAUCGAGCUUAGCGAACGAUUCGAUUUUAAGUGAAAUUUUGAUUAGAAAUUUUAUUUUGAAUUAGCUGUAAAUUAGAAUUAAUAUAAAAAUAUAAUUUUGAAUAAUAGGUUCUGAAGAAUUCUCUCAAGAUUAAUCGAUUUGUUUGUUCAGUUUUCUGCAAGAAGUGAUGAACUGUCUUCUC